UGGGGAAUAUUGCACAAUGGGCGCAAGCCUGAUGCAGCCAUGCCGCGUGUGUGAAGAAGGCCUUCGGGUUGUAAAGCACUUUCAGCGAGGAGGAAGGUGGUGAACUUAAUACGUUCAUCAAUUGACGUUACUCGCAGAAGAAGCACCGGCUAACUCCGUGCCAGCAGCCGCGGUAAUACGGAGGGUGCAAGCGUUAAUCGGAAUUACUGGGCGUAAAGCGCACGCAAGGCGGUUUGUUAAGUCAGAUGUGAAAUCCCCCGGGCUCAACCUGGGAACUGCAUUUGAAACUGGCAAGCUAGAGUCUCGUAGAGGGGGGUNGAAUUCCAGGUGUAGCGGUGAAAUGCGUAGAGAUCUGGAGGAAUA
rnacentral:rRNA from 1 species